rnacentral:rRNA from 1 species
UUUUUUUUUCCCCGGGGGGGGGAAUGUGCAAAGAACUUGAAGAGAGAGUUCAAGAGUACGUGAAACCGCUCGGAGCAAAACGGGUGGGCCCUCGAAGCUCGAACGGGGGGAUUCAACCCGUCGGCAGGAACGAUCGCCNGGCCGCGCAAAAAGCGAAGCACGGAUUCCGUACGGAACCGUGGCGCGGUCGAUCGAUGGCGAUCGCCGGCGGGCGCACUUCCCUCCUAGUAGAACGCUGCGACCGGUCGGGGUCGUAGGAGCUCCGUCGCCCUGACGGCGGACUCCGACAGCUCGUAAACGAUGUCCAUGGGACGAGGCGAUGGGAAGGUAUCCGUGCCGGCGUUCCCGUUUUCGUUCGCGCGAAUUCGGGUCCGGUCGGAAUUAUAUCCCGUCUCGCUCCGGUUGCAUCGCCCGACCGUGCGUACCUGGUCGAGCCUUCGGGCGAGACCGUGACGAGACUAAAAAACGCGCCCGCGCGCCGCCCUCCCAGUCCGGGGAGGAACGGUUCUCUCAUUCUUUGGAGGCGCGCGAGUCUGCUUCGACAGGCCCGGCCUUGGCUGCCGAACACCCAAUGUCCUGGUGGUCGGCAAGUCCAAGCGGUCCGUCGCCGGCCGUUGGUCGAGCAGGCUGCUGUCGUGGUGGCGCUCGUUGUCAGCGGCGAGUAGGUCGGUAACCCACCCGACCCGUCUUGAAACACGGACCAAGGAGUCUAACAUGUGCGCAAGUCGUUGGGUCGUCUUCCCCGAGACAAAACCCGUUCGGCGCAAUGAAAGUGAAGGCCACGCCUCGAACACAAAUGCUGGUGAAAGCGGGAUCCGCACCGUCAUUUCCUCGCGAAAUGCACGAAAGGGCGUCACGUGUGCUAAGCCCUGCCGGCGCACACG